AAUGGCGUAACGAUGGCCACACUGUCUCCUCCCGAGACUCAGCGAAGUUGAAGUGUUUGUGAUGAUGCAAUCUCCCCGCGGCUAGACGGAAAGACCCCAUGAACCUUUACUGUAGCUUUGCAUUGGACUUUGAACCGAUCUGUGUAGGAUAGGUGGGAGGCUUUGAAGCGUGGACGCUAGUUCACGUGGAGCCGUCCUUGAAAUACCACCCUGGUUUGUUUGAGGUUCUAACCUUGACCCGUGAAUCCGGGUCGGGGACAGUGCAUGGUAGGCAGUUUGACUGGGGCGGUCUCCUCCCAAAGUGUAACGGAGGAGUUCGAAGGUACGCUUGGUACGGUCGGACAUCGUACCUAAAGUGCAAUGGCAAAAGCGUGCUUAACUGCGAGACCGACAAGUCGAGCAGGUGCGAAAG
rnacentral:rRNA from 1 species